rnacentral:rRNA from 1 species
UACAGAGGUCCCAAGCGUUGUUCGGAUUCACUGGGCGUAAAGGGUGCGUAGGCGGUCAUGCAAGUUCGAUGUGAAAUCUCCAAGCUUAACUUGGAAAUGGCAUUGGAUACUGCUUGGCUAGAGGAUUGGAGGGGAGACUGGAAUGCUCGGUGUAGCAGUGAAAUGCGUAGAUAUCGAGCGGAACGCCAGUGGCGAAGGCGAGUCUCUGGACAAUUCCUGACGCUGAGGCACGAAAGCCAGGGGAGCAAACGGG